AGCCCAAGUACUCAGCAGUUUACGGGGAAAAACUGUUCGACAAAAUCUAAAGGAAAGAAACAAUCAAGCUCCAUCACCAAGCCUCAUAACACGCAACGAUUGUGCUCCUUUCAACAGUCUAUGCCUUUAAGCUCCGAACCACCUCAUCAUCAAUUUGGGCUAAUGGGGUACAGUGCCAUUCACACUCAUGCCGUGGCAGCAUUCCAAUCUGCCCAGGCACAGUCUCAGACACCAUUAGCUGUCUCAUCCAUCUCAAAUACGGUGACUUCCAGUUCAGGCACUAAUAAUGCCACUUGCCGUAAUCAAACUCCAUAUCAAAUGCUCCCACCACAGCCUGCAAAUGCUUUCAUGCCUCUCAUGUAUUGGCCCCCUCCAAACACGUACCCUCCUGGACCUUAUACAUCUAGUUAUGGUGGCUAUAGAUCUUUCCCUUCUAGUGGAAAUUACAUUUCCAUUCAUCCACAGCCUUAUUACAGCCAUCCUUCAUGCAGCCCUUUUAUACCCAAAAUGGCAAGUGGUGUGAAAAAUGACAUAGCCUUGAUGGAGGAAGCUAGUACUGACUCUGAUAGCAGUUCAAGCAGUAUAGAGCCAAAGGAAAAUAGUUAGCUAGUUUCAAAAAUUGACCAUGGUAUAUUAUGUGUACUUUAUGUAAAUUCUCAAUCGCUGGUGCAUUCUGAUGCAUGUAAUUUUGGACUUCCUUUAAUAUUCUCAGUGAACAUGUUACUUUUGCUUACAUUUUUUGUCUACAGUGACUAAGGCAAUCAGCACCUUCCUCAUUGAAUGUUGAAUAAACACGAAUCAAAUGGUUUAUAGUAGAAACAAAACAUAAUUUUGAAAUUACUUUUCUCACACUAUGCUUUUACGUGAUGGUAGGAACAGACUUGAUGUGAAAAAAUCGAAAGUGAUAGAAACAGGUUUUGAAUACUUGGGCAUUUUAUAAAACAAAACAAUUUCAUGGAAGUCAACAAUCCGUUUCUAAGUUUGUACUAGUUUAAUAAUGCAACUCAAGGGAAAUGUUCUUGAGAGUAAUUUUCUUUAGUUUUCGGUGAUGUUCCCCAUAGUAUUUACCAUAUAAAGGAAGACAGGACCUUCAAUGGCCCUAUCUGUAUGUCUUGAUCUGAAUAGAACCAGAUGGACGCGUGUAUGAGAGAGAGAGAGAGAGAGAGUAUCUACUCCUAACUUCUAAGAAAUCCAUUUUUUUUUCUUUGUUUUUUUGUCCGAACUACAUUAUUUAACCCUCUACCUACCACUGGAUUACGUAGGGUAUGAUAUGCUAUAUUGCUAACAGAAGAGAAUCUUAUCCUUUCAAUUUUAUCCCUUUUCUUUAAUAUAUUAUUUUUCUUUCCUUGGUGUGACCUGCGGGGCACUUUGAUGUACCAUUUUUAACUUGUUUUACAAAAAGGGUAGGGUAGAGGGGUUGAUUCAUUCAUUCCAUUUUAUAAAUACUAUAUAUCCCAAAUGUAAUUUAUAUGUGGUCCUGACAUCCAUGAGGGAUGCCUCUUGCUCCAUAUAUCAAAAUGAGCAAUAAUUACCAUCAAAAGAAGAUGCUUGCAAAGCAUGGAUAACCAUCAUCAUUGCAAUCCAUGCAUCAUACAUAGAUCAACCACCAUCCAUACAUACAUACAUACAUCCUAAAAUUUAACAUCACCACUAUGACAAACCUACAUCAGAAAACAGUGCAUACCAGACAUGAAAUGAAAAAAAAACAUAUUAUUUCUGCAAAUCUCAAACUCUUCUAAUCCAGCAUAACAAUGAAGGGAUAGAAAAAAGUUUGAGGCACGGUAGUUUUUUCCCAAAAGCUAAGGUUG